UACGAGGGGGGCGAGCGUUGUUCGGAAUUAUUGGGCGUAAAGGGUGCGUAGGCGGUUUGGUAAGUCUGAUGUGAAAUCUAUGGGCUCAACUCAUAGUCUGCAUCGGAAACUGCCGGGCUUGAGUAUGGGAGAGGAAGGUAGAAUUCCAGGUGUAGCGGUGAAAUGCGUAGAGAUCUGGAGGAAUACCGAUGGCGAAGGCAGCCUUCUGGCCUAAUGCUGACGCUGAGGUGCGAAAGCAUGGGGAGCAAACAGG
rnacentral:rRNA from 1 species